GUAGGGGGCUAGCGUUAUCCGGAAUUACUGGGCGUAAAGGGUGCGUAGGUGGUUUCUUAAGUCAGAGGUGAAAGGCUACGGCUCAACCGUAGUAGGCCUUUGAAACUGGGAAACUCGAGUGCAGGAGAGGAGAGUGGAAUUCCUAGUGUAGCGGUGAAAUGCGUAGAUAUUAGGAGGAACACCAGUUGCGAAGGCGGCUCUCUGGACUGUAACUGACACUGAGGCACGAAAGCGUGGGGAGCAAACAGGAUUAGAUACCCUGGUAGUCCACGCCGUAAACGAUGAGUACUAGCUGUCGGAGGUUACCCCCUUCGGUGGCGCAGCUAACGCAUUAAGUACUCCGCCUGGGAAGUACGCUCGCAAGAGUG
rnacentral:rRNA from 1 species